GAUGAACGCUGGCGGCGUGCCUAAUACAUGCAAGUCGAGCGAACAGACGAGGAGCUUGCUCCUCUGACGUUAGCGGCGGACGGGUGAGUAACACGUGGAUAACCUACCUAUAAGACUGGGAUAACUUCGGGAAACCGGAGCUAAUACCGGAUAAUAUAUUGAACCGCAUGGUUCAAUAGUUAAAGACGGUUUUGCUGUCACUUAUAGAUGGAUCCGCGCCGCAUUAGCUAGUUGGUAAGGUAACGGCUUACCAAGGCAACGAUGCGUAGCCGACCUGAGAGGGUGUUCGGCCACACUGGAACUGAGACACGGUCCAGACUCCUACGAGAGGCAGCAGUAGGGAAUCUGCCGCAGUGGGCGAAAGCCUGACGGAGCAACGCCGCGUGAGUGAUGAAGGUCUUCGGAUCGUAAAACUCUGUUAUUAGGGAAGAACAAAUGUGUAAGUAACUAUGCACGUCUUGACGGUACCUAAUCAGAAAGCCACGGCUAACUACGUG
rnacentral:rRNA from 1 species